rnacentral:misc_RNA from 1 species
AACCUAGCACACCUGCGGUGUGUACCUGCGGAAGGAUCAUUACCGAGUUUACAACUCCCAAACCCAUGUGAACAUACCUAUCGUUGCUUCGGCGGAUCGCCCCGGGCGCCUUGCGUGCCCCGGAUCCAGGCGGCCGCCGGGGGACCUUAACUCUUGUUUUUACUGAGAAUCUUCUGAGUCGUUUUUACAAAUAAAUAAAAACUUUUAACAAUGGAUCU